rnacentral:rRNA from 1 species
GACGUAGGGCGCGAGCGUUGUCCGGAGUUACUGGGCGAAAGGGCGCGCAGGCGGUUCUCCGCAUCUCUGGUGAAAGCCCCGAGCUUUAACUCGGGAGGGUCCAGGGAGAUGGGGGGGACUUGAGGCAGGGCGAGGGCGGUGGAAUUCCGGGUGUAGUGGUGAAAUGCGUAGAGCUCCGGAGGAACACCAGUGGCGAGGCGGCCGCCUGGACCUG